AGCGAACGCUGGCGGCAGGCUUAACACAUGCAAGUCGAACGAUCCCUUCGGGGAUAGUGGCGGACGGGUGAGUAACACGUGGGAACGUGCCUUUAGGUUCGGAACAACACAGGGAAACUUGUGCUAAUACCGGAUGUGCCCUUCGGGGAAGGAUUUAUCGCCUUUAGAGCGGCCCGCGUCUGAUUAGCUUGUUGGUGAGGUAAAGGCUCACCAAGGCUACGAUCAGUAGCUGGUCUGAGAGGAUGAUCAGCCACACUGGGACUGAGACACGGCCCAGACUCCUACGGAAGGCAGCAGUGGGGAAGUCUUGCGCAAUGGGGGAAACCCUGACGCAGCCAUGCCGCGUGAAUGAUGAAGGUC
rnacentral:rRNA from 1 species